CUCAAUCUUAAACAUUAUAUAUAAGCUUUUAUAAAGGAUACAUCACUUCUCAAGAAAAAGAAGGAUUUAUCUUUUACUUGUUGGAUCAAUGGCCGUGAGGCCAUCUUGAUCCUAGCCAUUCAUCGUGGAGAUCCCGGGUUAUCCUCACAUCGGCUUGUUAAUCAAGCUUCUAAUCAGUUUUCUUUUUGUAUUAUGGGUUUUGCUAACGUCCCACGUUCAUGGAGAUGUUAGCAACAUCCCACCUAUUUUUGAUCUAAACUGUUCAUUCAUUCAUACAACUUGGAGCAAUUCAUGGUGCCAAUCACGUGAUCCUAAGCUUCCAAUCAAUAGCAUGAAAAUGGACAGUCAGGAUUAACCGGAGAUGCAAAAUAGAUUGGCCCCAUUCAAAGGGUUAGGAUCAUCUGACGAGUGUGGUUCUUGCAAAAUGGCAUGGUCUAGCUACGUGAAGGAAUCAAUGCUUCAGAUCCACGAUAGGUCACCCAGUGUGCCGUUUAAAAGUUUUGGAGACAUUGCUAACAUCCCCAUGAAGAUGGGACAUUAACAAAACCCUUUUAAUAAUUAGUAUAAACACUAUUUAUUUUCAAAGCCAUGUUUGAAUCAUUAAAAAUAGACAUUAAUAAAUGGACUAACAUUUCUCAAAUCAGAGGGCCAUUUCACCUUUGGAGAGUUGAUGAUCUUAGGAUCAUGGAUAGGAGUUUAGAAAAGGGGAUUAGCAACCCCUUUGCAAGAUACAACAAGAAAAAAAAGAGAAUGAGAAAAUCACAAGAAAUUGCCAAGCAUAUCACCUACAGUCAGGAAGAGCACUCUCCCAAUGCGAUUUCCAAUCUCACGACACCGUCCUCUUCAUCUGGACAAUGUUGGACGCUCCCAAUCUUGCGAUUUUUCAUUAAUCACAUCCAUUCAAUGUUUAAGCAAAUUACUUAAGUUUUAUAUGACUUUUUGACCUUGUUUGGAUUUUUGUAACUUCAUACGAAUGAAUUUUGAGGGCUGUAA